rnacentral:lncRNA from 1 species
UGCUGUUGCUCUUUAGCACCACCACCGCCGCCGUGGUCCUUAGUGCCCACGCUGCCCCCUCGCUCGUCUUGGGGAUUCGCAUCAGUGCUGUGAAGUCUCUUGGGGCAGCGGAAUCGCAGAUGUGCCACAUAGGGGAACUCAAACUGGAAACGUUGGCUGCAUUCCAGUUCCAUUUGGGACAACACCUCAGAAGCUUCGUCUACCCUAUGAUGUGCCUAAGAUAAGCAAGGAAAUGACCCUCAGAUACCUCCAUCACACUUGCUGAGACUCACCCGGAAGAUGUAAGGUACUGUUCUCUUGUCUGUGGACUUGAGGGCUACGAAGGCUAUGCUGUCAUACAGGGAAGUAUGGCUCAGAACACAGGGGCCGAAUAUGGCAUUCUCUGGGAUGUCGCAGGUUGUAUAUACACUGGUAAAAAUGUCUGUCAGACACUGUUGGACAGCCUUGGCAUCUCCAUCCCAGACGCCUCUCUGGAUGCCCGAAUCCUCCAUCACUGGAGACAGAUAGAUACCCAGGACGAGAAGAGAGUUGUUAUUGCCUUUUCUGCUACAAACCUCGGCAAAGCGUUUCCGCUACCAGACAUAUUUUCUUUGCACUUGCUGACUUUUUUACAUAGCUCCUACUUUAAAAAUAAAGCAGAUCAAUCUGG